AUUGAACGCUGGCGGCAGGCUUAACACAUGCAAGUCGAGCGGGGGAAGGUAGCUUGCUACCGGACCUAGCGGCGGACGGGUGAGUAAUGCUUAGGAAUCUGCCUAUUAGUGGGGGACAACAUCUCGAAAGGGAUGCUAAUACCGCAUACGUCCUACGGGAGAAAGCAGGGGAUCUUCGGACCUUGCGCUAAUAGAUGAGCCUAAGUCGGAUUAGCUAGUUGGUGGGGUGAAGGCCUACCAAGGCGACGAUCUGUAGUGGGUCUGAGAGGAUGAUCCGCCACACUGGGACUGAGACACGGCCCAGACUCCUACGGGAGGCAGCAGUGGGGAAUAUUGGACAAUGGGGGGAACCCUGAUCCAGCCAUGCCGCGUGUGUGAAGAAGGCCUUAUGGUUGUAAAGCACUUUAAGCGAGGAGGAGGCUACUCUAGUUAAUACCUAGGGAUAGUGGACGUUACUCGCAGAAUAAGCACCGGCUAACUCUGUGCCAGCCGCCGCCGUAA
rnacentral:rRNA from 1 species